rnacentral:rRNA from 1 species
GAAUUCGCCCUUAGAGUUUGAUCCUGGCUCAGGACGAACGCUGGCGGCGCGCCUAACACAUGCAAGUCGAACGAGCGAGAGAGAGCUUGCUUUCUCGAGCGAGUGGCGAACGGGUGAGUAACGCGUGAGGAACCUGCCUCAAAGAGGGGGACAACAGUUGGAAACGACUGCUAAUACCGCAUAAGCCCACGGCUCGGCAUCGAGCAGAGGGAAAAGGAGCAAUCCGCUUUGAGAUGGCCUCGCGUCCGAUUAGCUAGUUGGUGAGGUAACGGCCCACCAAGGCAACGAUCGGUAGCCGGACUGAGAGGUUGAACGGCCACAUUGGGACUGAGACACGGCCCAGACUCCUACGGGAGGCAGCAGUGGGGAAUAUUGCACAAUGGGGGAAACCCUGAUGCAGCGACGCCGCGUGGAGGAAGAAGGUCUUCGGAUUGUAAACUCCUGUUGUUGGGGAAGAUAAUGACGGUACCCAACAAGGAAGUGACGGCUAACUACGUGCCAGCAGCCGCGGUAAAACGUAGGUCACAAGCGUUGUCCGGAAUUACUGGGUGUAAAGGGAGCGCAGGCGGGAAGACAAGUUGGAAGUGAAAUCUAUGGGCUCAACCCAUAAACUGCUUUCAAAACUGUUUUUCUUGAGUAGUGCAGAGGUAGGCGGAAUUCCCGGUGUAGCGGUGGAAUGCGUAGAUAUCGGGAGGAACACCAGUGGCGAAGGCGGCCUACUGGGCACCAACUGACGCUGAGGCUCGAAAGUGUGGGUAGCAAACAGGAUUAGAUACCCUGGUAGUCCACACCGUAAACGAUGAUUACUAGGUGUUGGAGGAUUGACCCCUUCAGUGCCGCAGUUAACACAAUAAGUAAUCCACCUGGGGAGUACGACCGCAAGGUUGAAACUCAAAGGAAUUGACGGGGGCCCGCACAAGCAGUGGAGUAUGUGGUUUAAUUCGACGCAACGCGAAGAACCUUACCAAGUCUUGACAUCCCUUGACAGACAUAGAAAUAUGUAUUCUCUUCGGAGCAAGGAGACAGGUGGUGCAUGGUUGUCGUCAGCUCGUGUCGUGAGAUGUUGGGUUAAGUCCCGCAACGAGCGCAACCCUUAUUGCCAGUUACUACGUUAAGAGGACUCUGGCGAGACUGCCGUUGACAAAACGGAGGAAGGUGGGGAUGACGUCAAAUCAUCAUGCCCUUUAUGACCUGGGCUACACACGUACUACAAUGGCGUUAAACAAAGAGAAGCAAGACCGCGAGGUGGAGCAAAACUCAAAAACAACGUCUCAGUUCAGAUUGCAGGCUGCAACUCGCCUGCAUGAAGUCGGAAUUGCUAGUAAUCGCGGAUCAGCAUGCCGCGGUGAAUACGUUCCCGGGCCUUGCACUCACCGCCCGUCA